rnacentral:snRNA from 1 species
GUGCUCGCUUCGGCAGCACAUAUACUGGAGUUGGGGUGAUACAGAGAGGAUUAGCAUGGCCCCUGCGCAAGGAUGACACGAAAAAAAAAAAAAGAAAAAUGUGAGGUU